GUUAUUGUACAAGAAGCCUUAAAAGUUGUAUUCUCGGAUUAGUUUGUAUACCUUUACCUCUCUCACUCCAAGACGUGUACUGCUUCUACAAACACGUGUACCCAUACCUCUCCCACUGAACUAAAUGGUUAAUACCUAAUUCCAUCUCCUCAUUCUCUCCCUUGCUCUCCUUACUUACACUUCUCUGUUACUAAUAAAUAAAGGGUCACUUAGGCACAGGCUAUGGAGGCCCAAUUCCAAAUAAUAAUAGAGAAAUGUCACUACGACGAUAGAUUGUGCAUUAGGAUUUAGGAGUACAAACAUGAGGUAACCACGUUGUUGUAGUCUUAUGCAUUUACAUUUUGGUUCCUGUUUUUAGUGGCAUUUGUGAAUUUUGCUUAGUUUUAUCUGUUAUAUCUCGACGGACAUCUAAACCUGCGAUUCUAUCCUUUUUAGAUAAUAUUGAUCUAUAAUCAUCAUUCUGCCUCUGAAAUUCUCCUUGUAUUUUUGCUUUAUUAUGUUUUUAGUUAGUCGAGUGUAAUUUUUGUUAUUUGGUUCUUUCAUAUAUGGACUUUGCUCUUUCUUCAUGUUCUCUUAUUGAAUUUUGUACAUGCAUGUGGUUGAAUGUUUAAAUUCUUCUAUAAAAGUACACUGAAUUUACCAUCAGAAAGAAAAAAUAGUAAUGAAAAGGGAAGAACUUGGAUGCAGCAAAGAUGUUUGACGAUAUGCCUCAACUAUUGUAAUUUUUUUAUUUCACUUCUUUUUUACUUGUAGGUAAUCUAUAAGGCAGAGAUCUAUCAUCCGGCAGCACCAAAGGUAUAUUACUUAUUCCUAUUGGAUAGAAAUACUGAGCAAUAAUGUUCAUUAUAUUUAUUUGAAAUGCAUUUAAUUUUCCUAUGUCUAUUGCGGUAGUAAUACUGUUUGUCUAAAUAAACAGGGAAAAUCAGAUACAAUCCAAAGUGGCAUGGAGUUCUUUUUCUGAUCCAUUUUUCUAUUCGGUAUGUAAUGAUGAUUGAAUUAGCUAGCUCAACAAUAAUUACACUUUUGAUCGUGUUAAAAAACCUCUCAAAGGUUGCAUUAUAGCUAAGAUGCCUUUUCUGUUGUAUUUUUCUGUUACAAUAAUUAAUUUAUUGCGUAAUUUCCUUGGUUGCGCACGUGAAUGUGUGAUUAUGUGGAAGAAGUGUGCUAUGGUUUCACGAAUCGACAUUUCAAGAUUGCCCCAUAAUUAGUUCUUUUAAGCAUUUUUUAUAAUAUUUUCUUUUAAGCAUUUUUCUCUAAGGAUUUCUUUUAAGCAUUUUUUGUUUGGUUAGUUAUUGAUUCUCAUUAGAUACUGAGUUGUUGCCUUGUGACUUAGUGUUAAUAUUUACCUAUUACGGAAGUGAGAACUUGACAAUUAAGUGGAAUUUAUUUCCUAUCUUGGAAUUGCCAGACCUUUCUCUAUAAUCUAAGUAACUCUUCUCUAUGUUCUAUAUUUAAGCUUUUACAUCCAUAUAUUUUCAUUAUUUAUGUAAUUUUUAAUGGUACAUGACUUUAUUCUUCCUUCUUCUCUGAUGAAUUUCAGUGAGCUUCAUUCGCCACUUUCGACACUUUAAUGAGUGAACUGGAAAGACAUUGCAGUUGUAGGUGAGCGUCAAUGCAUCACUUUUCUUUCUUCAUCUUAUUUCCUUUCAUCUUUCUUAUUCUGUCUGUAUUAUCUUAGUAAAAUUGAGAAUUCAAUAAAGGAUUGAGGAAUUUUUAACUGAACAAAAUGAAACUAAAAAUGAUGUGAAGGAAGGAUAAACAGAAUAUGGAGGGAGGAGUACAUUAUAGAUUUCUGGUUAGCUUUAGUUCGAUGAGUAGCUUUGAGAAUUAGCACCCUUCUGCCAGGUGAAAGCCAGUUAGAGCUGCAUGAUCUUUUCGUUGCAUUCAGUGAUAAUCGCAUGUUCUUUUUAAUGCUAAAUGACAUUCCACUAUGAUUUGGUGCAUCAAAUUGUAUAAUGUAAAAUUGGAGGUUAAAUGGUAAAGAUAGAAAAUUGAGAAGAGUAUAAACUGCACAAGAGACAGGAGUUGGGAAAGUAUAAACUCCACUCAGUUCACAAUCUUGCACAUGAUCCAAAACCUAAAAAAAUAGAAGCAGGAGUUAGGAAAGUUGAUGCAAGAUCAAAAGACAUUCACAAGCUCUCUUUUCGGUGCUACAUCUAUUACAAGGGGUACUUUGCUCGCUAAGAACCUCUUUUAAUUCUUUUGAGUUCAAAUUUUAGUGCAUUUUUGUUAUUUGCUAAUUUUUUGAAGAGAUUCAAACAUUAUCAAGCAUGUGCUUUAUUUCAAUCUAAGGUUCUUUUCUGUAUAACUAAAAGAUUGAAAAGACAAGUCUGGUUUUCAUGAGGCAAUAAAUAUGUAAACUGCUAUAUGAAGACUCUUAUUUUUUGUGCUACUCUUUUUCUAAGAUUUCACUUUGCUCCUUGGGUUUCUCAUUCUGGUUAUUUAUUUUGGAAGGAACAUGCAAUAGUUUUAUGGUUUCGGUUUCAAAUAGAAGAUCAUUUCCUUUGUUUUUUUAUAAUUUGAUUGAAAUGAGAAGAAGUUGUCCUUGCUAGCUUCUUUUUAUAUUUUUGGUAAUGUAAAAAAGAAAAGCAGCAAGACAUCGCACAUUAAUCUACUCUGAGCUAUAAAGGAACUGUUAGGGAAAUGUUGAGAAAAUACUAUUCUUCAAUUAAUUUGUCGCAACACUUUUUCAGUAAAGGAGUGAACCAGAAACUAUUCAUAUCCAUAAACCAUGACCCCAUAUUCCUUCUCAGCUUCAAUACACUUUAAUUUACUUAGUUAAACUGUAGUUUUUGAAAAAUAUACAAGAAGCUUAAAACCCGAACUUCAUGGCUAAAGUCCCACAAUUAAACCUAAUAAAACCAAUCCCAUAAUUGAACAAGAUAAAUUACUAUUGAAAUCCAAAUAAGUUUCUCCUUUCUUUUCCAGCUGAUGAAGUAUUUUAUAAGAGAGAAAAAUUGAUGCAGAAGUCUCAUAUGACGUCUUAAGAUGAUGAUUCCGCAUGCUAGAUGUCUUAUAGUUUUGUCUAUUAUGCACAUUUUGCAUUUGGAAUAGGACGUGGAAAAUGAUUUGGCAUGUGUUUAGUGGAAAGAAAGGAACCAGAGAUAUUUCUAUGGGAGUUCUAUGGCUUUAUGCUGUUUGAUGUUCAAAUUAUCAUAUCUCGGCACUGCACGUGAUGCACACAAUAGCACUAUUUUAGUUGUGUUCAUUCCUGCCUUUCUCACUUAUAUAUAGUACAAAUUUAUUCAUUUUAUGAAAGGAUAUUUUGAAGGGUGGGCUCCUUCUUUACAAGACUACUCUAAAUUUCUUUUCCUUUCUCUAAAUUUUAAAAUGUACUACGUUACUUAUGACUCCUUUUCACCCCACUAAAUAUGCUACUUCUUGACUGCAGGUAAAAAGAUUAGAAUACUUCAUUUUUUGUGCAAAUCAACCCUUCUUAUAAAAACUAAUCUGCAACUCUUAAUUUAUUGGACUUAUGAAGAAGAGUUUGUGAGAUCCAAGAGAUAAAAAUUAUAAUUUGUAGUAACAGAAUGUUCCUAAGAGUUUCUUUGAACAAAUUUUUGUUGUUUUUGUUCUUUUAUUAGUGGAUGUUAUUUGAUUUAUACUGGAUUUGGUCUCUUCUAUUUUCAUGAUAUGUAUUGGCUUUUAAUUUGAAGUUUCUUUGGGUUGAAUAUCCCCUUACACAGAGAACAAAUUUUGAUUUUUUAGCAAGUUGAUUCUCUUUAAUUAAUUCCCUGUGAGAAAUUUUCAUAAAGCACUAUCUUUUAGUAGUAAUUAGCCAUCUAUAGAUACCAUUUGCUAUAUUACGGAUUAUAGAUACCUUUUCUGUGGUUAUAAGAUGUAUUUAAGCUAUUGUAUUCAUGAAUACAUUAGCAAAAAUAGGCGUGAAUCAGG
rnacentral:lncRNA from 1 species